CGCUCCUUUUGAAACAUGCAGAAGGGGCGUGUGGGCUGGAGGUCGCUGUCCCUUCUGCGAAUCGGUCGAGUAACGCUGGAGUGGGAAGCUGGAUCAGCGGAGACCUCGAUGUGCGGUUAGGCCAGGAGCGGUCACAGCUUCAUUCAUUGUGCAGCUACCAGGGUGGCAGCCUCCUCCCUCCACCCCUCCCAGCAAUGAAAGGACAGCGUGUGGUGAAAGAACCAUCACAAGAACUGCAGCCAUGGGUCCUCCCUCUAUAUCAGGCAAGGCUUUACUGUGAACCACUAAUGUGCCAGGUACCAUGUGUGGAGGCACUGGCCCAAAGAUGAAGAUGAGGUUUCUCUCCUUGAGAAGUACAGUGUGGGAGACAGACAGCUUGGAUCUCCAGUAUAAUGUUGAAUAGAAGUAAUAAUAGAGACAUUCUUGUCUUGGUUUUAGUAUCAGGAGGAAAUCUUUUAGUAUUUCACUAGUAAUUAUCAUAUUUGAUGUGGUGGGGGCCCUGCACAGGUGUGUGAUCCUUUGAGGAGAACAUCUCCAUAAGGAGAAUGACCUGACCUGCGGCACUGGAGCCUGAAUGGGGUGAGAAGGACCUUGCAGUAUUAGGGCAGUACAGUACGGGGCUUCAGAGCCCAGGCAGACUAAGGAGGGCAUGUUAGGCAGCCUCGUGGGGUGUGUUGGUGCCCCAAUAGGGGGAGGCACAGGUCUACAUAUGGUGAAAGGUAUUAGACCCCUGAAGGGUAAGGAGAGCUUUUACAUAAGGGAUGGCCUGGCACAGGGUAUCAGAACCCUAGUUCAGAUAGAAAGAUAUUUAUGGAAGAUUUGCAGAGGAAGGGAAGUGGAGGUUAUAGGAGAUUGAUAACAUACAAAGGGUUGAAUACAGUCAGGAAAUAUAUUGAGGAAAGUGGGAACCAGGUUUCUUGCUGUUAGAGAAAGAAGUUAUGAAAAGAGGUACAACUAGAAUGAAAGCUACAGCUAUACAUAAAAAUGCCUGCAGAUUACAAAACUACAGCUCUCUAUAUGGGCUGAAUGGCUCCCCACCUCUGCCUCCCCCUCCCCAAAGUUAUAUCCAUAUUCUAACCUGUAGAACCUACAAAUAUGACCUUAUUUGAUAAAAGGGCCUUUGUCAAUAUAAUUAAGUUAUGGAUCUCAAGAUGAAAAUCAUCCUGUGUUUUGAAUGGGCCCUAAAUCCAAUGGCAG
ensembl:lncRNA